CCAGCUCCAAUAGCGUAUAUUAAAGUUGUUGCAGUUGAAAAGCUCGUAGUUGGAUUUCUUUCUUGUCUGUUUAAUGCUUUCGAAUGGGUGGCCCUCACGGGUUAACUGGUUGAAGGCGCAGGCAAGAACUAAACUUUUCUCGAAGACCCGGUGUGCUCUUAACUGGGCGUGCCGAUCAGGGAUUCGGGACCUUUACUUUGAAAAAAUUAGAGUGUUCAAAGCAGGCUUAAGGCUUGAAUAGAUUAGCAUGGAAUAAUGGAAUAGGACUUUGGUUCUAUUUUGUUGGUUUCAGGGACCGAAGUAAUGAUUAACAGGGAUAGUUGGGGGCAUUAGUAUUUAAUUGUCAGAGGUGAAAUUCUUGGAUUUAUGAAAGACUAACUUCUGCGAAAGCAUUUGCCAAGGAUGUUUUCA
rnacentral:rRNA from 1 species